rnacentral:rRNA from 1 species
UACAGAGGGUGCAAGCGUUACUCGGAAUUACUGGGCGUAAAGCGUGCGUAGGUGGUUUGUUAAGUCUGUUGUGAAAGCCCCGGGCUUAACCUGGGAAUGGCCGUUGAAACUGGCGAACUGGAGUGUGGCAGAGGGGGGUGGAAUUCCGCGUGUAGCAGUGAAAUGCGUAGAGAUGCGGAGGAACACCGAUGGCGAAGGCAGCCCCCUGGGCUAACACUGACGCUCAGGCACGAAAGCGUGGGGAGCAAACAGG